UCCCGGUUGAUCCUGCCAGAGGUUACUGCUAUCGGUGUUCGACUAAGCCAUGCGAGUCAUAUGUUCUUCGUGAACAUGGCGUACUGCUCAGUAACACGUGGAUAACCUGCCCUUAGGUUUGGCAUAACUCCGGGAAACUGGAGAUAAUUCCGAAUAGGUCAAAUAUGCUGGAAUGCUUUUUGACCAAAAGACCUCGGUUGCCUAAGGAUGGAUCUGCGGUCUAUCAGGUAGUAGUGGGUGUAACGUACCUACUAGCCUACGACGGAUAUGGGUUGUGAGAGCAAGAGCCCAGAGAUGGAUUCUGAGACAUGAAUCCAGGCCCUACGGGGCGCAGCAGGCGCGAAAACUUUACAAUGCGGGAAACCGCGAUAAGGGGACACCGAGUGCCAGCAUUUAUGUUGGCUGUCCACAUGUGUAAACGGCAUGUGUUAGCAAGGGCCGGGCAAGACCGGUGCCAGCCGCCGCGGUAACACCGGCGGCCCGAGUGGUAAUCACUUUUAUUGGGUCUAAAGGGUCCGUAGCCGGUUUGAUCAGUUCUUCGGGAAAUCUGACAGCUCAACUGUUAGGCUUCCGGGGAAUACUGUCAGACUUGGGACCGGGAGAGGUAAGAGGUACUA
rnacentral:rRNA from 1 species